GAGUUUGAUCCUGGCUCAGGACGAACGCUGGCGGCGUGCUUAACACAUGCAAGUCGAACGAGAUUUAGUGAGUAGCAAUACUCACGAAGAUCUAGUGGCGAACGGGUGCGUAACACGUGAGGAACUUGUCCCGGUCUCUGGGAUAACAGUUGGAAACGACUGCUAAUACCGGAUGACGUCGGAACUUCGCAUGGAGUACUGACGAAAGGGUUACUGGAUCGGGAGAGCCUCGCGGCCUAUCAGCUUGUUGGUGGGGUAAUGGCCUACCAAGGCAUCGACGGGUAGCUGGUCUGAGAGGAUGAUCAGCCACACUGGGACUGAGACACGGCCCAGACUCCUACGGGAGGCAGCAGUGGGGAAUCUUGCACAAUGGGCGAAAGCCUGAUGCGGCAACGCCGCGUGCGGGAAGAAGGCCCUCGGGUUGUAAACCGCUUUCAGAAGGAACGAAACUGACGGUACUUUCAGAAGAAGGUAGCGGCCAACUACGUGCCAGCAGCCGCCCGGUAAU
rnacentral:rRNA from 1 species